UCCAAUGGUCCAUAAUAAAACUAGACAAGCACAAUCCAUGUGAAUUACACAAAUAACACUUAAGUCUAAUGGAGUUAAGAGAACCAUAUUCUCACAUUCUUCACCUUGGUUCUCAUAACACUCUCUCUUGGUUGCGAAUUUGCACAUGGAAGAACUGUUCAUCAUCAUCGCCCACUACCUGCAAGAAAAAUUAACCAGUGUUAAUAUGUAAUAAAAAUAAGCACAAUUUAAAUUUACCUGCAGGUAGAAUUUUUGUUCCCACAUCAGAGGGAUUCC
rnacentral:lncRNA from 1 species